CCUACGGUAGGCAGCAGUGAGGAAUAUUGGUCAAUGGGCGGAAGCCUGAACCAGCCAAGUAGCGUGCGGGAUGAAGGCCCUACGGGUCGUAAACCGCUUUUGCACGGGGAUAACACCCUCCACUUGUGGAGGUCUGCAGGUACCGUGCGAAUAAGGGCCGGCUAAUUCCGUGCCAGCAGCCGCGGUAAUACGGAAGGCCCGAGCGUUAUCCGGAUUCAUUGGGCUUAAAGGGAGCGUAGGCGGGCGUUCAAGUCAGCUGUAAAAUCGCGCGGCUCAACCGCGCCCCGCAGUUGAAACUGGACGCCUUGAGUUCACAACAGGCAGGCGGAAUUCGUGGUGUAGCGGUGAAAUGCAUAGAUAGCACGAGGAACCCCGAUUGCGAAGGCAGCCUGCCGGGGUGCGACUGACGCUGAGGCUCGAAGGUGCGGGUAUCAAACAGGAUUAGAUACCCCUGUAGUC
rnacentral:rRNA from 1 species